GAUUCUGGCUCAGGAUGAACGCUGGCGGCGUGCCUAAUACAUGCAAGUGAAACGGGUAUCUUCGGAUACCAGUCGCGGACGGGUGAGUAAUACAUAGGCAACCUGCCUUUAUGAGGGGGAUAACCGAGGGAAACUUUGGCUAAUACCGCAUGAGGACUCUAAGGCAUCUUAGAGGGAUAAAAGUUGGGAAACAACGCAUGAAGAUGGGCUUAUGGCGCAUUAGCUAGUUGGUGAGAUAGAAGCCCACCAAGGUAAUGAUGCGUAGCCGACCUGAGAGGGUGAACGGCCACAUUGGGACUGAGACACGGCCCAAACUCCUACGGGAGGCAGCAGUAGGGAAUUUUCGGCAAUGGGGGGAACCCUGACCGAGCAACGCCGCGUGAAGGAAGAAGGUUUUCGGAUUGUAAACUUCUGUUAUAAGGGAAGAACGGAUUGGAUAGGGAAUGAUCUGAUAGUGACGGUACCUUAUUAGAAAGCCACGGCUAACUACGUGCCAGCCGCUGC
rnacentral:rRNA from 1 species